GCCAGCAUGGUGUAGUGGUCUGAACACUGGACUAGGACUCCGGAAGACCAGGAUUCAAAUCCCUGCUUGACC